UACGGGGGGAGCAAGCGUUGUUCGGAUUUACUGGGCGUAAAGGGCGCGUAGGCGGUCGUGACAAGUCACUUGUGAAAUCUCCGGGCUUAACUCGGAACGGUCAAGUGAUACUGUCGGACUAGAGUACAGAAGGGGCAACUGGAAUUCUCGGUGUAGCGGUGAAAUGCGUAGAUAUCGAGAGGAACACCUGGCGGCGAAGGCGGGUUGCUGGGCU
rnacentral:rRNA from 1 species